UACGAGGGGAGCAAGCGUUGUUCGGAUUUAUUGGGCGUAAAGGGCGCGUAGGCGGCUCGGCACGUCCGUUGUGAAAUCGCCCGGCUCAACUGGGCGGGGUCAGCGGAUACGGCCGAGCUUGAGCAAGCUAGGGGGCAAUGGAAUUCCCGGUGUAGUGGUGGAAUGCGUAGAUAUCGGGAGGAACACCAGUGGCGAAGGCGGUUGCCUGGAGCUCUGCUGACGCUGAUGCGCGAAAGCGUGGGGAGCGAUCCGG
rnacentral:rRNA from 1 species